AUGGGGGCUUCAGUACCUUGCUCCUUCUUCUUCGACGACGAGCCGCUCGGCGAGCCCGGCAUGCCGGCGCUGGACGCGUGCGCGCUCUGUGCCAAGCCGCUGGCGCGCGACAGCGACAUCUUCAUGUACAGAGGGGACACGCCCUUCUGCAGCGAGGAGUGCCGCCACGAGCAGAUGCAGCUCGACGCUAUCUGCUCCAGGCAGGCCGCCCGGAGGCAGCUGCGGCUCUCGUCGGGAUCGGAGGCCCGGCGCUGGCAUCAAGACUCCGGUAAGGUGUCCGUCGCGAGCUAG
rnacentral:rRNA from 1 species